GACGAACGCUGGCGGCGUGCUUAACACAUGCAAGUCGAACGGAAAGGCCCUGCUUUUGUGGGGUGCUCGAGUGGCGAACGGGUGAGUAACACGUGAGUAACCUGCCCUUGACUUUGGGAUAACUUCAGGAAACUGGGGCUAAUACCGGAUAGGAGCUCCUGCUGCAUGGUGGGGGUUGGAAAGUUUCGGCGGGUGGGGAUGGACUCGCGGCUUAUCAGCUUGUUGGUGGGGUAGUGGCUUACCAAGGCUUUGACGGGUAGCCGGCCUGAGAGGGUGACCGGCCACAUUGGGCCUGAGAUACGGCCCAGCCUCCUCCGGGAGGCAGCAGUGGGGAAUAUUGCACAAUGGGCGGAAGCCUGAUGCAGAAACGCCGCGUGCGGGAUGACGGCCUUCGGGUUGUAAACCGUUUUCGCCUGUGACGAAGCGUGAGUGACGGUAAUGGGUAAAGAAGCACCGGCUAACUACGUG
rnacentral:rRNA from 1 species